rnacentral:rRNA from 1 species
GCAACGAGCGCAACCUUUAUCCUUUUUGCCAGCGGUCCGGCCGGGAACUCAAAGGAGACUGCCAGUGAUAAACUGGAGGAAGGUGGGGAUGACGUCAAGUCAUCAUGGCCCUUACGACCAGGGCUACACACGUGCUACAAUGGCGCAUACAAAGAGAAGCGACCUCGCGAGAGCAAGCGGACCUCAUAAAGUGCGUCGUAGUCCGGAUUGGAGUCUGCAACUCGACUCCAUGAAGUCGGAAUCGCUAGUAAUCGUGGAUCAGAAGGCCACGGUGAAUACGUUCCCGGGCCUUGUACACACCUCCCGCACACCAGGGAGUGGUGCAAAAGA